rnacentral:tRNA from 1 species
CUGACAGUCCCCCGACAACCGAUUUUGGGACUGACGCGGUCGUGCGCUAAUCUUCAGGAGUCAGCGCGCGGGACACA